rnacentral:misc_RNA from 1 species
AAGUCGUAACAAGGUAACCGUAGGUGAACCUGCGGUUGGAUCAUUAAAAAAUAUUUGGUCUCGUGCCAAAUUUACACCUGUGUGCACCAUUGUCUGUAUUUGGUAGCUCGAGCGCGCUCCGGAAGCUCAACACUUCCAUUAGGGGCGCCUACCCUUGCGGGUCACAUCCCGCUUGGGUUGGGCUACCGCCUUUUUUUUUGAAAAACCUUUUUUGUUUUGUCUUUUUGUCUGAACGAAGAGUUGAUCUUAAUUGAUUAAUGAUUUGAAUACAACUUUUGACAACGGAUCUCUUGGCUCUC